rnacentral:misc_RNA from 1 species
UCGUUUAUGGUUGAGACUACG